rnacentral:rRNA from 1 species
AUAUUGCACAAUGGGCGCAAGCCUGAUGCAGCGACGCCGCGUGCGGGAUGACGGCCUUCGGGUUGUAAACCGCUUUUGACUGGGAGCAAGCCCUUCGGGGUGAGUGUACCUUUCGAAUAAGCACCGGCUAACUACGUGCCAGCAGCCGCGGUAAUACGUAGGGUGCAAGCGUUAUCCGGAAUUAUUGGGCGUAAAGGGCUCGUAGGCGGUUCGUCGCGUCCGGUGUGAAAGUCCAUCGCUUAACGGUGGAUCCGCGCCGGGUACGGGCGGGCUUGAGUGCGGUAGGGGAGACUGGAAUUCCCGGUGUAACGGUGGAAUGUGUAGAUAUCGGGAAGAACACCAAUGGCGAAGGCAGGUCUCUGGGCCGUCACUGACGCUGAGGAGCGAAAGCGUGGGGAGCGAACAGGAUUAGAUACCCUGGUAGUCCACGCCGUAAACGGUGGAUGCUGGAUGUGGGGACCAUUCCACGGUCUCCGUGUCGGAGCCAACGCGUUAAGCAUCCCGCCUGGGGAGUACGGCCGCAAGGCUAAAACUCAAAGAAAUUGACGGGGGCCCGCACAAGCGGCGGAGCAUGCGGAUUAAUUCGAUGCAACGCGAAGAACCUUACCUGGGCUUGACAUGUUCCCGACAGCCGUAGAGAUACGGUCUCCCUUCGGGGCGGGUUCACAGGUGGUGCAUGGUCGUCGUCAGCUCGUGUCGUGAGAUGUUGGGUUAAGUCCCGCAACGAGCGCAACCCUCGCCCUGUGUUGCCAGCACGUCGUGGUGGGAACUCACGGGGGACCGCCGGGGUCAACUCGGAGGAAGGUGGGGAUGACGUCAGAUCAUCAUGCCCCUUACGUCCAGGGCUUCACGCAUGCUACAAUGGCCGGUACAACGGGAUGCGACCUCGUGAGGGGGAGCGGAUCCCUUAAAACCGGUCUCAGUUCGGAUUGGAGUCUGCAACCCGACUCCAU